UACGUAGGUGGCAAGCGUUGUCCGGAGUUAUUGGGCGUAAAGCGCGCGCAGGCGGUGCGGUCAGUCUAGGGUGAAAGCGCCCGGCUUAACUGGGCGAGUGCCAUAGAGACGGCCGCGCUGGAGGGGAGCAGAGGCGAGUGGAAUUCCGGGUGUAGUGGUGAAAUGCGUAGAGAUCCGGAGGAACACCAGUGGCGAAGGCGGCUCGCUGGGCUCAACCUGACGCUGAGGCGCGAAAGCGUGGGGAGCGAACCGGAUUAGAUACCCGGGUAGUCCACGCUGUAAACGAUGGACACUAGGUGUGGGGGGUAUCGACCCCCUCCGUGCCGGAGCUAACGCGUUAAGUGUCCCGCCUGGGGAGUACGGCCGCAAGGCUAAA
rnacentral:rRNA from 1 species